rnacentral:rRNA from 1 species
AGCACGGCAGCGUACACGGUGGUGCGGUCAGAAGGGCGAUGAAGGGCGUGCCCCAAUCUGCGAUAAGCGCCGGUAAGGUGAUAUGAACCGUUAUAACCGGCGAUGCGAAUAGAGAAGCAGUGUGACUCGUCACACUAUAUGGCAUUAACAAUCAUAGCAUAGGUUAAUGAGGCGGAACCGGGGAACUGAAACAUCUAAAGUACGAGGAAAAGAAAACCGAGAUUCCCCAGUAGCGGCGAGCGAACGGGGGGCCAGAGCCUGAAUCGCAUGUGUGUUAGUGGAAGCGUCUGGAAAGGCGCGCGAUACAUGACAGCCCCGUACACAAAAAGCGCAUGUGCUGUGAGAGGCUCGGUAGGGCGGAACGUGGUAUACAUACGGUAUGGGGACCCAUCCUCCAAGGCUAAAUAUACUCUGACUGACCGAUAGUGAACCAGUACCGUGAGGAAAGGCAGAACCCCGGCGAGGGAGUGAAAAGGAACCUGGAAACCGUGUACACGUACAAGCAGUGGGAGCCCACCAAAAGCGUUUCGCUUUUGUGUGGUGCUAAAAAGCAUGGCUGAAACAGCACUGAAUGACGGUUAACGCGGGCGCAGCGACGUUCAACAUAAAGAAUCAAGCAGGUGGAGCGCUUUGGGGUAAGGGUGACUGCGUACCUUUUGUAUAAUGGGUCAGCGACUUAUAUUCUGUAGCAAAGGUUAACCGGAAUAACGCGGGGAGCCGGAGAAACCGGAAGUCUUAACCGGGCGAUUGCAGGAGCGCGGAGCGAAACUUGUGAUCUAGCCAUGGGCGGUGAGGUUGGGUAACACUAACUGGAGACCGAACGACUAAUAUUGAAAAAGUAUGUGGAUGACCUGUGGCUGAGAGGGGUGGCCAAUCAAACCAGGAGAUAGCUGAAGUUCUCCCCGAAAGCCUAUUUAGAGCGCCUCGUGAAUCUCCGGGGUAGAGCACUGUUUCGGCUAGGGGGGCCCGUCCCGGCUUACGCCCGAUGCAAACUGCGAAUACCGGAGAAUAUUUAUCACGGGGUGCUAACGUCCGUCGUGAAGAAGAGAGCACAACUUAGACCAUAGCUAAGGUCCCAAAGUCAUGGUUAAGUGGGAAACGAUGUAGGAAGGCGAACAGCGAGGAUGUUGGCUUAGAAGCAGCCAUCAUUGAAAGCGUAAUAGCUCACUGGUCUGUCGGCCUGCGCGGAAGAUAUGGCACAGGGCUAAACCAUGCACCGAAGCUGCGGCAGCGACGCUUAUGCGUUGUUGGGCCAGGGCGUUCUGCUUAAGCGAAGGCUGGCCUGUGAGGGUUGCUGGAGCAUAGCAGAAGUGCGAAGAUACUGACGCAAAGUAACGAUAAAGCGGGUAGAAAAGCCCGCUCGCCGGAAAAUAAGGGUUUACUGUCAGCAGCGUUAAUCGGGCAGGAGUGGAAGUCGGCCAGGCAGGCGAAAAGGCGUCGAUAUGGGAAACAGGUUAAUAUAUUCCCGUAGCAGUGUUACUGCGAAGGGGACGGAAGAAGGCUAUGUUAGCCGGGCGACGAUUUGUCCCGGUUUAAGCGUGUAGGUGUGUUCGAGUAGAAAUCCGGUUCACUUAACACUGAGGCGUGAUGACGAGCACUACGAUUGCUGACUUAACAAUGCCCUGCGGGAAAAGCACUCUAAGCAUCCAGGUAACAUCAAAUCAUUUAAACCGGCACAGGUGGUCGAGUAGAGAAUACCAGGCGCUUGAGAGGAGGCUUCAGGUGAAGGAACUGGGCAAAAUGGUGCCGUAACUUCGGGAAGGCACGCUGAUAUGUAGGUGAAGCGGUUUGCAGUAGGCUGAAAUCAGUCGAAGAACACCACCAGCGGCUGCAACUGUUUAUUAAAAGCACAGCACUGUGCAAACACGAAAGGAAACGGACGUAUGCGGUAUGCCCGAGGUAUGGAGGAUGAGUGGUCAGCGCAAGCGAAGCUCCUGAUCGAAGCGGUAAACGGCGGCCGUAACUAUAACGGUCCUAAGGUAGCGAAAAUUCCUUGUCGGGUAAAGUUCCGACCUGCACGAAUGGCGUAAUGAUGGCGGGGCUGUCUCCGCGAACUCAGUGAGCUUUCGCUGUGAAGAUGCAGUGUACCCGCGGCAGGAGCAGGCAAUGAACUACUAUAGCGACGCAUUGAGCGCUUGAUGUGUAGGAUAGGUGGGGCUUUGAAGCGUGGACGCCAGUCUGCGUGGAACCGACGAAAUACCCGCGCAGCGAUGUGCUAACGUGGACGCCCGUGAUCCAGGUUGCCGGACGAAGUGUCUGGUGGUGGAUGGGGCGGUCUCCUCCUAGAGUAACGGAGCACAGGUUGGCUAUCUGGUCGGACAUCAGGAGGUUAGAUGCAAUGGCAUAAGCCAGCUUGACUGCGAGCGUGACGGCGCGAGCAGGUGCUGCACAGGUCAUGAUCCGGUGGUUCUGAAUGGAAGGGCCAUCGCUCAACGGAUAAAGAGGGCACUCCGGGGAUAACGGGCUGAUACCGCCCAGAGUUCAUAUCGACGGCGGUGUUUGGCACACCUCGAUGUCGGCUCAUCACAUCCUGGGGCUGAAGUAGGUCCCCAGGGUAUGGCUGUUCGCCAUUUAAAGUGGUACGCCGAGCUGGGGUUUGGGGCAUUGAGAUUCAGUUAUCUGCGUGGGCGCUGGAGAACUGAGGGGGCUGCUCCUGGUACGAGAGGACCAGGAAUUGGACGCAUCACUGGUGUUCUUUGUCAUGCCAAUGGCACUGCCCGGUAACUAAAUGCAGGAAAGAUAAGUGCACAGAAAGCAUGCGCGACACUUGAGAUGAGUUCUCCCACAAAGGACUUUGGGUCUCCUAGAGGUGGGGCGACGUUGAUGGGCGGGUGUGUGGCGCAGCGUGCGUUUGAAACAGCGUUUUAAUGAACCGUGAAACUGUGCUUA